rnacentral:rRNA from 1 species
UUGUAAUCCCCAAAUAAGAGGUCCUGCCUGCCCUGUGACUAUAUGUUUAACGGCCGCGGUAUUUUGACCGUGCAAAGGUAGCGCAAUCACUUGUCUCUUAAAUAGAGACCCGUAUGAAUGGCAAGACGAGGGCUUAACUGUCUCCUUCCUCCGGUCAAUGAAAUUUAUCUCCCCGUGCAGAAGCGGGGAUUCGCACACAAGACGAGAAGACCCUAUGGAGCUUUAGAUGCAUAGCUGAUUAUUAACGUCAAAACCAUAAUUAAAAGAUUUAACUAAACUAAUUCCGCUAAAUAUCUUUGGUUGGGGCGACCACGGGGUAAAAACCAACCCCCGCGAGGAAUGGGUUAUAAUCCUAAAACUAAGAACGACAGUUCUAAGUACCAAAACAUUUGACCACCAGAUCCGGCAAAGCCGAUCAACGAACUGAGUUACCCUAGGGAUAACAGCGCAAUCCUCUCUAAGAGUCCCUAUCGACGAGAGGGUUUACGACCUCGAUGUUGGAUCAGGACAUCCUAAUGGUGUAGCCGCUAUUGAGGGUUCGUUUGUUCAACGAUUAAAGUCCU